GCUGCUCCUCCAGCCAGACCACGGCAGGCUUCCUGAAGGCAUGCUUUGGCUCUCUUGUUCACCAGGAGAAUAAGCCAAUGCAUGGCAAGCACUAAAUCUUAGAUCCCGAAGACUCGGCCCUUGGCAAAAGACACGCACCUCCCCGCUCACCGGGCCCUGGAUGGGGAGGGUGCUCCUCUUAGAGGCCCCUGGCAUGCCUCAGAGGGGCCUUUCGAGGCAGCUGGGAGGCAGAUCCUCACACUCUGCCCUCCUCUCCCCCAGGUACAAGAUGGUGGUGACCCCCCGGAGGGCGGCGGUGGCCAUUGCCGGCUGCUGGAUCCUCUCCUUCGUGGUGGGACUGACCCCUAUGUUUGGCUGGAACAAUCUGAGUGCGGUGGAGCGGGCCUGGGCAGCCAACGGCAGCAUGGGGGAGCCCGUGAUCAAGUGCGAGUUCGAGAAGGUCAUCAGCAUGGAGUACAUGGUCUACUUCAACUUCUUCGUGUGGGUGCUGCCCCCGCUUCUCCUCAUGGUCCUCAUCUACCUGGAGGUCUUCUACCUAAUCCGCAAGCAGCUCAACAAGAAGGUGUCGGCCUCCUCCGGCGACCCGCAGAAGUACUAUGGGAAGGAGCUGAAGAUCGCCAAGUCGCUGGCCCUCAUCCUCUUCCUCUUUGCCCUCAGCUGGCUGCCUUUGCACAUCCUCAACUGCAUCACCCUCUUCUGCCCGUCCUGCCACAAGCCCAGCAUCCUUACCUACAUUGCCAUC
rnacentral:sRNA from 1 species